UACGUAGGGUACAAGCGUUGUCCGGAAUUAUUGGGCGUAAAGAGCUCGUAGGCGGUCUGUCGCGUCUGCUGUGAAAACUCAGGGCUUAACCCUGAGCUUGCAGUGGGUACGGGCAGACUAGAGUGCGGUAGGGGAGACUGGAAUUCCUGGUGUAGCGGUGAAAUGCGCAGAUAUCAGGAGGAACACCGGUGGCGAAGGCGGGUCUCUGGGCCGUAACUGACGCUGAGGAGCGAAAGCAUGGGGAGCGAACAGG
rnacentral:rRNA from 1 species